rnacentral:tRNA from 1 species
GGGGCUGUAGCUCAGUUGGGAGAGCGAUUGGUUCGCAAUCAAUAGGUCAUGGGUUCGAUUCCCUUCAGCUCCA